ensembl:lncRNA
CCCUCUUAAACGAAAACAAAAUUAACUUCAGAGGCAAUACUUCACCGGGUAACGAACAUAAUGGGGGGCUGAUUAUUAUAACAAUGACAAAUAUGUAUGGGUAAAUUGUAUUUUUUAAGUAUUAUUGUAAGCAGGAUUAGGUCUAUACUUUUUUGUAAUUUUAUAUGGAUAAUAAUAUAAAAAUAAUCACUAUCAUAAUCAGCAUCAUCAUAACAAUAAAAGUACAAUCAUAUCCAUAUUGAUAAUAAUAUAAAAUCAUUUACUCGUGGAAUAUUGUUGUUGUUUUUUAAUCAAACUGAAUCUUUAUAACAUGAUUACUUUCUCAUACACUCCUCUAAAAUGGAGAAAGUAGUGUGCGUGUGUGUUUGUUUGCCUGCGUGCAUGUCUGACAGGGAGACGAGUUUGUAUCGUGCAGGUACACGUUCCCAAAUUCCCACGCCACGGAUAUAGGCCCAUGCACUGUUUAACCCAUUGUCAUUACUGCAUUCAUUAGACUUGAUUCAUUGCCGGCAGGAUAUAUGACCCUGACUGCCUGCUAUCGUGGUGUUUUCGGAUGACACUUUUCCGGGUUCAAAUUAGAAAUUAAAUGUAGGCUAACGUUUGCCCCCGAUCAUGCAGUCAAAACAAUCCAGGGAAAAGGAUGUAGCAGAGGCACAAAGGGUUACCACGCCUAAGUUAUUUCAGGUGCCGAUGAGCCUUCAGAGGGAAGCAUUAAAACAUGCACACUAAAACAUGUCAAGGCACUGGAGGCUUGACACUCAAGAACGUCAUGUCCUGGCAGGCAUCCCAUGAGGCGGAGAAGAUUCGAGGAACAGUGCGCACUCUGUGUAAUGACGCCCAUGUGACCGAUGGCCCAGGUCACUUGGCAACCCCGCGGGCCAAAAAAAAACUCAAGUUAUAGGCUCUCUUUAAGUAUUGUCUGCGACUGUGUGCUAGAGUGAACCAUUUUGCAUGUAUUUAGCGCAACCCUUCACCAUCGAGGUAAAGCAGAGCCUCUAAGGGCCGAGGAGAUAGAUCGGUACCAAUGUCACACACUGUAAAAUUGUUGUAAUUACAAUCCGAUGUGGAAACAAUUGCGAGGGGUUAGCACCUGUACUUCCCAGAUUUGGCCUACUAGAGCUGAAUAACGUUCAAUAGGCCUAGAACAUUACACAGCCUUAUUUUAACUUCUGAAAAUGAUUGUUAUAGUCUACAUCAGCCAUAAUGUUCUCUACCUGAUUUAUGGCCGUUAACAAAACAAUUAAAUCAAGGUUAUGAUCGGGCGUGUUCUUGCAGAGCGACAUUUCACACUCCAAGUAUCAUCUUGAUGGAUUCCAGUUUUGUCAACGCUCCAGAGCUGUCCAAACAGACCGUGUUUUAUUACCUCUCCCUGAAAGUACAGCUGUCAAAAUUACGAAUGUAUAGGACUUGUCAUUAAACCAGAAACAUCGUCUUAGCAAUGCCAAAAUGAGACAAUAACAUACAUUGAACAGUCAUAAUGGUUAUUAUAUUUAAUUUCCGAAUCUUCAUCGCGAAUCUGGGUAGUAAUGUGGGAAUACUAUGCGUGAAGAUCUAUUUCAAUGCCUUGUAAUUGAGUUGAUUUGACAUAAAUCAAAAUGUACAGCAUCGAAUAUAUAAAGUAGCCUAACAAAAAUAUGAAUACUCUUAUUCAUUUUGAGAGCAAGACAAAUUCACAUUUUUGUUAUAGGCCCCAGGCCUAUAUAUUAUCCUAACGUUUUGUAAAUAUCAUAUCCAUCUUUGGGUGGCAAUAAUGAUUUCUCUAAUAAAUCCCUAUUCCUUUUCUUUGUGCAGUU